rnacentral:rRNA from 1 species
GUCGGCAGCCAUACCACCUGCAGUUCAGAGUAGGUAAUACAUCUGAAACUAAGCAGGUUUGGGCCUGGCUGGUAGUUGGAUGGGAGACCAACUAAGAAAGCUGGGUUGCUGCUGCUA